GCCGGGGUGGCUCAGCUGGUUAGAGCGCACGGCUCAUAGGGUAUAAAAAGCAGUGCUCUGACUAAUACCUGGGAUACCGUGAGGCCACGGGUUCGAAUCCCGUUCCCGGCA
rnacentral:tRNA from 1 species